ensembl:lncRNA
GACAACUACAAAGACGCCAUCAGGCUAAUGAAUCAAUAUCAGACCGGCUGCAACGCCUCUGAGCUACAGUCUGAGGCAGAGCAGGAGGGAUAGCUGCCAGAGAAAUGAUUCAGGAAGCCAAUCCAUCGUUUUGGGGACUCUGAUGAGAGUGAAGAAGAGCCAGAAAAUUCGGCUGGUGUAUCAGUUGGAGCCUCAAGCCCAAACCAAUUACACUGGCAGACUCCACCAUCUCACUGAGUGCCAUGCAGCAGAGUCACUACUCCUCAACCUGGAGGAAACUGUCUAGGUGCUGUGAGGAAAAACACAGUGACACGGUCAGCCACGGACGCAGAGGUCACCAAGCACGCAAUCAGGUGGUUCAACCUGGCAGCGGAUCGGGCAACGAGGAGACGUGUCCCGCCUCAAGCCACACAAACGGAGUAAUAGGAG